AGUGAACGCUGGCGGUAGGCCUAACACAUGCCAGUCGAGCGGCAGCACAGUAAGAGCUUGCUCUUACGGGUGGCGAGUGGCGGACGGGUGAGGAAUACAUCGGAAUCUACUUUUUCGUGGGGGAUAACGUAGGUAAACUUACGCUAAUACCGCAUACGACCUACGGGUGAAAGCAGGGGAUCUUCGGACCUUGCGCGAUUGAAUGAGCCGAUGUCGGAUUAGCUAGUUGGCGGGGUAAAGGCCCACCAAGGCGACGAUCCGUAGCUGGUCUGAGAGGAUGAUCAGCCACACUGGAACUGAGACACGGUCCAGACUCCUACGGGAGGCAGCAGUGGGGAAUAUUGGACAAUGGGCGCAGGCCUGAUCCAGCCAUACCGCGUGGGUGAAGAAGGCCUUCGGGUUGUAAAGCCCUUUUGUUGGGAAAGAAAAGCAGCAGGUUAAUACCCCGCUGUUCUGACGGUACCCAAAGAAUAAGCACCGGCUAACUUCGUG
rnacentral:rRNA from 1 species